rnacentral:rRNA from 1 species
UGGGGAAUAUUGGACAAUGGGCGCAAGCCUGAUCCAGCCAUGCCGCGUGAGUGAUGAAGGCCCUAGGGUUGUAAAGCUCUUUCACCGGUGAAGAUAAUGACGGUAACCGGAGAAGAAGCCCCGGCUAACUUCGUGCCAGCAGCCGCGGUAAUACGAAGGGGGCUAGCGUUGUUCGGAAUUACUGGGGCGUAAAGCGCACGUAGGCGGACAUUUAAGUCAGGGGUGAAAUCCCGGGGGCUCAACCCCGGAACUGCCUUUGAUACUGGGUGUCUAGAGUUCGAGAGAGGUGAGUGGAAUUCCGAGUGUAGAGGUGAAAUUCGUAGAUAUUCGGAGGAACACCAGUGGCGAAGGCGGCUCACUGGCUCGAUACUGACGCUGAGGUGCGAAAGCGUGGGGAGCAAACAGGAUUAGAUACCCCUGGUAGUCCACGCCGUAAACGAUGGAAGCCAGCUGUCGGCAAGUUUACUUGUCGGUGGCGCAGCUAACGCAUUAAGCUUCCCGCCUGGGGAGUACGGUCGCAAGAUUAAAACUCAAAGGAAUUGACGGGGGUCAUAGCUGUUUUCCUG